GUCAGGGCCAGGCCAGGCAGGGAGAGGCUGGAAUGUGCAGGCUCCUGGACCCAGGCCAGGCAGUGGCUGGGCUGAGGGUCCAGGGUUCCCUGGCAGGGGCUGGCCAGGCAAUAUUCUACCACCUGACCAAGGCCUGGCUUCCUUAUGUCCUCUCUGAGCCUCGGUUGCCUCCUCUGUCAACGGAAAACAGAGUUGCUUUUCUGCCUCAUUAAGGACUAAAGGAGAGGACAGAGGCUUGCCUGGAGCCAGGUGGCACUUUCCACCCAUCUCACAGGAGGUGAGCAACGUAUUCUGCCAUGUGCUCCCCUAUGAUGUGCUGCCUAGCCACAAGCCCAAGAACAACGGCGUCAACUAACUUGUCGGAAACCUCUGAAACUAUGAGUCAAAAUAAACCUUUCUUCUUUAA